AGUGAACGCUGGCGGUAGGCCUAACACAUGCAAGUCGAACGGCAGCACAGUAAGAGCUUGCUCUUACGGGUGGCGAGUGGCGGACGGGUGAGGAGUACAUCGGAAUCUACUUUUUCGUGGGGGAUAACGUAGGGAAACUUACGCUAAUACCGCAUACGACCUACGGGUGAAAGCAGGGGAUCUUCGGACCUUGCGCGAUUGGAUGAGCCGAUGUCGGAUUAGCUAGUUGGCGGGGUAAAGGCCCACCAAGGCGACGAUCCGUAGCUGGUCUGAGAGGAUGAUCAGCCACACUGGAACUGAGACACGGUCCAGACUCCUACGGGAGGCAGCAGUGGGGAAUAUUGGACAAUGGGCGCAAGCCUGAUCCAGCCAUACCGCGUGGGUGAAGAAGGCCUUCGGGUUGUAAAGCCCUUUUGUUGGGAAAGAAAAGCAGCAGGUUAAUACCCCGCUGUUCUGACGGUACCCAAAGAAUAAGCACCGGCUAACUUCGUG
rnacentral:rRNA from 1 species